rnacentral:rRNA from 1 species
AUUGAACGCUGGCGGCAGGCCUAACACAUGCAAGUCGAGCGGAGCGGCGGACGGGUGAGUAAUGCCUAGGAAUCUGCCUGGUAGUGGGGGAUAACGUCCGGAAACGGGCGCUAAUACCGCAUACUAUCAGAUGAGCCUAGGGCGGAUUAGCUAGUUGGUGGGGUAAAGGCCUACCAAGGCGACGAUCCGUAACUGGUCGGAGUGGAUGGUCAGUCACACUGGAACUGGGACAAGGUCCAGAAUCCUACUGGGAGAAGCAGUUGGGAAUAUUGGAGAAUGGGCGAAAGCCUGAUCCAGCCAUGCCGGGGGUGUGAAGAAGGGCUUUGGAUUGGAAAGCCCUUUAAGUUGGGAGGCGUUACCAACAGAAUAAGCACCGGCUAACUUCGUGCCAGCAGCCGCGGUAAUAC